AUUGAACGCUGGCGGCAGGCUUAACACAUGCAAGUCGAGCGGAGCGAGGGUGCUUGCACCUUAGCUUAGCGGCGGACGGGUGAGUAAUGCUUAGGAAUCUGCCUAUUAGUGGGGGACAACAUUCCGAAAGGGAUGCUAAUACCGCAUACGCCCUACGGGGGAAAGCAGGGGAUCUUCGGACCUUGCGCUAAUAGAUGAGCCUAAGUCGGAUUAGCUAGUUGGUGGGGUAAAGGCCUACCAAGGCGACGAUCUGUAGCGGGUCUGAGAGGAUGAUCAGCCACACUGGGACGGAGACACGGCCCAGACUCCUACGGGAGGCAGCAGUGGGGAAUAUUGGACAAUGGGCGGAAGCCUGAUCCAGCCAUGCCGCGUGUGUGAGGAAGGCCUUUUGGUUGUAAAGCACUUUAAGCGAGGAGGAGGCUCUUAAGGUUAAUACCCUUGAUGAGUGGACGUUACUCGCAGAAUAAGCACCGGCUAACUCUGUGCCAGCCGCCGCAGUAAUAC
rnacentral:rRNA from 1 species